GAUGAACGCUGGCGGCGUGCUUAACACAUGCAAGUCGAACGAUGAAGCCCAGCUUGCUGGGUGGAUUAGUGGCGAACGGGUGAGUAACACGUGAGUAACCUGCCCUUAACUCUGGAAUAAGCGCUGGAAACGGCGUCUAAUACUGGAUACGAGAAGGGUCCGCAUGGGCACUUUCUGGAAAGUUUUUCGGUUGGGGAUGGGCUCGCGGCCUAUCAGCUUGUUGGUGAGGUAAUGGCUCACCAAGGCGACGACGGGUAGCCGGCCUGAGAGGGCGACCGGCCACACUGGGACUGAGACACGGCCCAGACUCCUACGGGAGGCAGCAGUGGGGAAUAUUGCACAAUGGGCGAAAGCCUGAUGCAGCGACGCCGCGUGAGGGAUGACGGCCUUCGGGUUGUAAACCUCUUUCAGCAGGGAAGAAGCGAAAGUGACGGUACCUGCAGAAGAAGCACCGGCUAACUACGUG
rnacentral:rRNA from 1 species